GACCUGCAAAAUGCAUGCCUUAGCAGCUCUGCUAUUUAUACCGGCUGGGUGCAGAAGAUGCUCAUAAUUAACACCGUUCCUCCAGCUUGCAGUGCACGCCACUCCACCCCGUCUGUAGGUUAUAUAUGUCAAUUACCUUUCAUCUCCCACCAGCACAUCGGAUGGAAACAGCGAUGGCUAAUGAGAAGGCCGGGGAAUAUUCUGUCUGAGGAAACGCAGGUUGCUGUGCUGGUUUUAGCGUAGUUAAAUUAUUUGAAGUGACACCUUUUUGUUCUUCAGUCAUAUUCCAGCAAAGUUCAGUUUUUAUUUUAACAGUCAAAUAAAUCAGAGCUGUAUGAAGGUCGUGUAGACAAAUAGUGCUCUAAAAAAAAAACUCAGCAUGAAGAAACAAUGAGAGAGAUAUCACCAAGGCUUUGUUCUUCCUGCCAUCCAUUCUCUCCCCCUUAGCUCCAGCUGAUAAGAGCCUCUUUUCAAGCUGGCAGUCAGAGAGAUAAGGCGGAUAUCUGUGUUGAUAAUGUUAACGACCUCCAGCCAGGUCACAAUCAAGUAAUUCACACACGCCCCUGGAGAAAUGGGGGGGGGCUGAAAAAGGACGUCUAACCCCAAGCGUUUGAGCACUGCUGACUUUUAGUACUGCGGCAAAUUGGAAAGCCUGAUUUCUACUCGUGCUAUUUCCAGAAUAUCACAGCUUAUUUUUUCUGCAUAGCAGAGCAACCUGGGAUUAGUCUUCCAAGGAUGAAGAAAUGUCUUGAAUUUUAUUGCUAGACUGAGAAAGCAGUCCCAGGAAGCAAAAUCCCAGUUAGGGUCCACCUGUGAGUUGCAGAUCUCAGGAUCCAGCCUGUGCCAUUAAGAGGGUGUGAUUUCAGCCGGGAAACGCGGUGUCAGCUAUUCCCAAAGAAAUCUACUGGGAGUUCUCCGCACCCCGUCAUCAGUUCCAGAGAGCACCCAGCCUUGGGCAUCAGUCCCACUCCUCAAAAGCCACGCUGAGCUCCCAAGGAGGGAACUGGAGAGUGAUGGAAAUGUGCUUGUCCAGAGGUCACAGAAGGCACUGAGGCAGUUCAAGAGGAUUUGUGAUUUAAUUAAUUGUUACUGAUGAGAUGGGUGAAUGUUGAGAGCACGGUAACUAAGAUUUGGAUGACUACAGUUACACCAGAUUGAAGGAAGGGCUUGAGCAUGCUACCUGCACCCAGGACAUGGGGUCUGUACGUGAGCAGUGACAGCAGCAUGUGUGCAGCAGCCAGCUGGAGCACCUGAGGACCAUAAAAUGGGGGAACAAAUGCCGAUACUUCAUUCAGCUGGCAAACCAAAGGAGAGUCAUUUAGCCCCCUUUCUAGAGCCUAGUUGCUUUGUUACUCUGUAAAAAGCUUCAAGAUGAAUUAUUAAUCCCAGCUCAUAUUGACAACAAGCACAUAAUUUCAUUUCCUGCUCUAUGACAGAGUUCAAAAUCAAAUACAUCUCAAUUUCUCCUAAGAAGUUCAAAUUAAUGGUUCUUGAAUGCCUCUUGUGAGACAAAAACUUCCUGAUGCUUUAGCAGAGCUUGGAUAUUAGCCUGAGCAGGCUGCACCUCUACAGGGGGACAAUCCACUGUCCC